GCGGAAGCCUGAUGCAGCGACGCCGCGUGAGGGAUGACGGCCUUCGGGUUGUAAACCUCUUUCAGCAGGGAAGAAGCCACAAGUGACGGUACCUGCAGAAGAAGCGCCGGCUAACUACGUGCCAGCAGCCGCGGUAAUACGUAGGGCGCAAGCGUUGUCCGGAAUUAUUGGGCGUAAAGAGCUCGUAGGCGGUUUGUCGCGUCUGCUGUGAAAGCCCGGGGCUCAACCCCGGGUCUGCAGUGGGUACGGGCAGACUAGAGUGCAGUAGGGGAGACUGGAAUUCCUGGUGUAGCGGUGAAAUGCGCAGAUAUCAGGAGGAACACCGAUGGCGAAGGCAGGUCUCUGGGCUGUUACUGACGCUGAGGAGCGAAAGCAUGGGGAGCGAACAGGAUUAGAUACCCUGGUAGUCCAUGCCGUAAACGUUGGGCACUAGGUGUGGGGGACAUUCCACGUUCUCCGCGCCGUAGCUAACGCAUUAAGUGCCCCGCCUGG
rnacentral:rRNA from 1 species